rnacentral:tRNA from 1 species
CGGGUUUUUCAGCGUUUUGAAAGCGGUGUCAUGGGGUGUCGGGGGUCGGAGGUUCAAAUCCUCUCGUGCCGACCA